CCUACGGGAGGCAGCAGUGGGGAAUAUUGCACAAUGGGCGAAAGCCUGAUGCAGCAACGCCGCGUGAAGGAAGAAGGGUUUCGGCUCGUAAACUUCUAUCAACAGGGACGAAAGAAAUGACGGUACCUGAAUAAGAAGCCCCGGCUAAAUCAGUGCCAGCAGCAGAGGUACGACGUAGGGGGCAAGCUUUAUCCGGAAGUACUGGGUGUAAAGGGUGAGUAGGGGGCAUGGUAAGCCAGAUGUGAAAGCCUUGGGCUUAACCCGAGGAUUGCAUUGGGAACUAUCAAGCUAUAGAACAGGAGAGGAAAGCGGAAUUCCUAGUGUAGCGGUGAAAUGCGUAGAUAUUAGGAAGAACACCAGUGGCGAUGGCGGCUUUCUGGACUGAAACUGAUGCUGAGGCACGAAAGCGUGGGGAGCGAACAGGAUUAGAUACCCCUGUAGUC
rnacentral:rRNA from 1 species